rnacentral:tRNA from 1 species
AGAAGUUUAGGAUACCCAGUC